UCUUCUCUGCCAUAAAUUUCACUGUAAUUCUAAUCCUAACUCUUUUCUCACCUCUUCUACAACCUAUUCCUCCCCAUUUUUUCUUUCUUUUUUCCUUUUGAUUGUCUUCUCCACUAUAACCCCCUCUGCAACCCUAACCCUAAUCCCACUCUAAUCUUAACCCCAACCCUAACCCUAAUCCUACUCUAAUUCUAACCCUAACCCCAAUCUAGACCCGAACGC
rnacentral:lncRNA from 1 species